UGUGGGUUGUCUGAAUUUAGAGUUGAUGAGUUAGUUUUCUGUAUUUGGAGUUAAUAGGCUAGUUUGUUGUGUGAAUAAAGUUAAGUGUUGCGGUAGUUGUGAGGCGACUUGGAGGCAGGGAGCUUGUGGUCGGUGGGGGUGCCUGCGCCCUGGAGCCCUGGAGCCGGGGACAGCUUGUGACUACGAGAUAACGAUCUUGUUACCAUGCGAACACUGCCUGACUAAGAUUCCCGCCUUAGCUAGCUUAAUGUCUGUUAAAGUGAUUAGCCAAUCAGCAUGAAACAUGUGUGCCUUAGACUAUAUAAAUGUAUGUUUGCCAUACAAUAAAGCGGACACCUUGCUUGCAUCAAGCUGCGUCCCCGUCUCUCAAUCGCGGCAAAUUGGUGACCUCCGACGUGAUCGUCAGCGACGAAACCGCCGAGGAUUGAAAAACCGCCUACCUGGUGGCAUGUCGCGAGUCCCGCAGAACGUGGAAUGAGCUGCUGAAAGGAAGCAGGAUAAGCCGGCCGGCCAAACAAUCCCUCCGUCUGGAACGAGAGGGCUCGACAGCGAUUACUUACCCUGGCAGGCACGGACUUCGCCCUCAUAUGUAUGCCGAAAGAGGUCCCCGCUGGAUCCCAGCUAAAAACGUGAGACCUUUUCGAGAGACAUUGCAGCAGCCUCCUGAAGACAUUCCUGGUCCUGAUCCUGCGACUGACAUAGAAGACACUACCGAUCAAUAAUUGAAUGAACUCUGUUCCAGAGGUUAACAAAUGGGAGCUUAAGUGUCCCCAAUGUGAAAAAUGUAAUCCGUGGAUUUGUAGAAUUUGUGCUAAUUGUGGAAAAUCACAGUGGCUAAAUCGCCAUACAGUAGGACGCUGGUGUGAUAACUGCCUAACAAUUGAGUGGAAUACAGUUCAGGUGUUAUUGAUAACAGGUAGAGAGACAGAAUAUUCUCCCCGGUAUGAUUAUUAUUCUGACGAUUGGGGGAAAAUUGUAGCACAAAGGUCUGUGGACAUUUUAUAUUCUAAGAUUGAAUGCGCCAAAGACAUUCAAAUGAGCAUUAUUAAUAGUAAUCCCAUGUGUGUUACAAUGCUUCCAAAAUCAAUAACUGCUUCAAUGAACAAGAUUUUCCUCGUGCAGCAAGGAGCGGACCAAGAUCAGAAAGAAAUUACGAAAACCCCCAGUACGGAGCUGUUAGUAAGAUGUCCUCGAGUUGGUCGUUUGCCGACCUUGGGAGGGUCAGUUAAUUAAAACAAAAAGGGGGAGAUGUGGGUUGUCUGAAUUUAGAGUUGAUGAGUUAGUUUUCUGUAUUUGGAGUUAAUAGGCUAGUUUGUUGUGUGAAUAAAGUUAAGUGUUGCGGUAGUUGUGAGGCGACUUGGAGGCAGGGAGCUUGUGGUCGGUGGGGGUGCCUGCGCCCUGGAGCCCUGGAGCCGGGGACAGCUUGUGACUACGAGAUAACGAUCUUGUUACCAUGCGAACACUGCCUGACUAAGAUUCCCGCCUUAGCUAGCUUAAUGUCUGUUAAAGUGAUUAGCCAAUCAGCAUGAAACAUGUGUGCCUUAGACUAUAUAAAUGUAUGUUUGCCAUACAAUAAAGCGGACACCUUGCUUGCAUCAA